rnacentral:lncRNA from 1 species
CAGAGGGUAUGCAUUCAGAGCAAUGAUCAAGCCUCUGGGAGCAACUGAGAGGCUUCUGUGCACAGCUGAUCAGUGAAUCGGAGUUUGGCAGCAAGUUAUGCUGGCAGUAUCACCAGGC